AGAGUUUGAUCCUGGCUCAGAUUGAACGCUGGCGGCAGGCCUAACACAUGCAAGUCGAGCGGUAGAGAGAAGCUUGCUUCUCUUGAGAGCGGCGGACGGGUGAGUAAUGCCUAGGAAUCUGCCUGGUAGUGGGGGAUAACGUUCGGAAACGGACGCUAAUACCGCAUACGUCCUACGGGAGAAAGCAGGGGACCUUCGGGCCUUGCGCUAUCAGAUGAGCCUAGGUCGGAUUAGCUAGUUGGUGAGGUAAUGGCUCACCAAGGCGACGAUCCGUAACUGGUCUGAGAGGAUGAUCAGUCACACUGGAACUGAGACACGGUCCAGACUCCUACGGGAGGCAGCAGUGGGGAAUAUUGGACAAUGGGCGAAAGCCUGAUCCAGCCAUGCCGCGUGUGUGAAGAAGGUCUUCGGAUUGUAAAGCACUUUAAGUUGGGAGGAAGGGCAGUUACCUAAUACGUGAUUGUUUUGACGUUACCGACAGAAUAAGCACCGGCUAACUCUGUGCCAGCAGCCGCGGUAAUAC
rnacentral:rRNA from 1 species